GACGAACCGUGCGAACGUUGUUCGGAAUCACUGGGCUUAAAGGGCGCGUAGGCGGCUCGCGAGGUCGGGGGUGAAAUCCCACGGCUUAACCGUGGAAGUGCCUUCGAUACCGGCGGGCUCGAGGAAGGUAGGGGUGCGCGGAACUUCUGGUGGAGCGGUGAAAUGCGUUGAUAUCAGGAGGAACACCGGUGGCGAAGGCGGGUCUCUGGGCCGUUACUGACGCUGAGGAGCGAAAGCGUGGGGAGCGAACAGG
rnacentral:rRNA from 1 species